rnacentral:rRNA from 1 species
AGUGAACGCUGGCGGUAGGCCUAACACAUGCAAGUCGAACGGCAGCACAGUAAGAGCUUGCUCUUACGGGUGGCGAGUGGCGGACGGGUGAGGAAUUCAUCGGAAUCUACUUUUUCGUGGGGGAUAACGUAGGGAAACUUACGCUAAUACCGCAUACGACCUACGGGUGAAAGCAGGGGAUCUUCGGACCUUGCGCGAUUGAAUGAGCCGAUGUCGGAUUAGCUAGUUGGCGGGGUAAAGGCCCACCAAGGCGACGAUCCGUAGCUGGUCUGAGAGGAUGAUCAGCCACACUGGAACUGAGACACGGUCCAGACUCCUACGGGAGGCAGCAGUGGGGAAUAUUGGACAAUGGGCGCAAGCCUGAUCCAGCCAUACCGCGUGGGUGAAGAAGGCCUUCGGGUUGUAAAGCCCUUUUGUUGGGAAAGAAAAGCAGCAGGUUAAUACCCCGCUGUUCUGACGGUACCCAAAGAAUAAGUACCGGCUAACUUCGUG